GGUUUCUCUGUGGCUUUGGAGGCUGUCCUGGAACUCACUUUGUAGACCAGGCUGGCCUCGAACUCACAGAGAUCCACCUGCCUCUGUUUCCCGAGUGCUGGGAUUAAAGGCGUGCGCUACCAAUGCCCG
rnacentral:miRNA from 1 species